AGCUAAAUCUACAGCAAAUAUUUGCUUUUCUGGUUCUGGCUGUGACAGUAAUUCAGGAAUCCAAUCAAGACAAAUAUGCAUGGAUGGAAUACCAGUAACUGUAAUGGGUAACAGCUCUCUUGGAUAACCCUAUAAGUAAAGAAAUAUGGAAGAAUAUAUGGAGCGGACAAAGGAGAGAUAACAGAACUGAUUCAAGGUCUGGAUUUAUUUCAGAGAAAAGAACCUGACUCUAAAUGCGAGAAAAGCAAAGGUAAACGAAAUUCAAGGGGGGCAGGGGAUAGAAAAAUGAAGGAGGAAAAAUGGAAAUGGGAGCAGGAAGUUCGUGUUAGAGAAAGGGAUAGAUAUAU